AAACCAAUUAAAAUGGAAAGUUUUUCCAAUAGCCAAAAUUUAUUGCAAAGGAUCUGAAUUUAGCAAUAUCUAAAUUGUAAUACAUUACAAAGAAGCUACACGAAUUUCAACUACGGCCACCGUGAUACUUAAAUAUUCGACAUCCGAGGUGAAACAUAUUUAAAUUAGCACCUUCUCUUCUUCCGUACAUCCGACGAUACACCCUACGUGGAUAGUACAAAUGUCCGACCAUCAACCAGAUUAAGGGAGGAUGUCGUAUUUGUAAUUGAACCAUCACAAAUCCUCCGGAUGGUAUUUAAGUCAAUUUGGCGAGAAAGGAACCUAAUCAUCAGGUGGGUGGAAACAAUAUGUCGCCGUUGCUAAGCUAUUACGAUAGCAGCCAUCCUCUUUAAUACGGGAUUUUAAUAAACGAGCACAUUGGACUUUGAAAACAGAAGAUCGUUUUAAGAAGCAAAUUGAUAAAUUUAAGCAGCCAUUGCUCGUAGAUUAAAUAUCCUUCAAUAUUCUGAUGUUGAUGUACUGCACUACGAUCUUGAUAUAGAGUCCGGCCUUUACACUGUCUACGUAGGACAUAUUAUCGAAUGGGGAUUGACGAAAGGACAAAUUUAAAUAUAUUCCGCAUCAGAAGUCGAAUAUUUGAUCAUCACGACAAGCGUACUUGAAAUUGCGUUUAUCUUCUUUGAGUGUAUUACAGUUUAGAUAUUAUAA